rnacentral:tRNA from 2 species
AUUACUUUGGCAGAGUAGUGCAGUAAAUUUAGAAUUUACGUAUGUAUGGUGAAUACAGGUAAUA